rnacentral:rRNA from 1 species
GAUGAACGCUGGCGGCGUGCCUAAUACAUGCAAGUCGAGCGAAGCGGGGACGGGUGCGUAACACGUGGAUAACCUCCUAUAAGACUGGGCUAACUUCGGGAAACCGGAGCUAAACCGGAUCCUUAUAGAUGGAUCUGCGCUGCAUGAGCUAGUUGGUAAGGUAACGGCUUCCUAAGGCAACGAUGCAUAGCCGACCUGAGCGGUGUAUCGGCAACACUGGAACUGAGACACGGUCCAGACUCCUACGGGAGGCAGCAGUAGGGAAUCUGCCGCAAUGGGCGAAAGCCUGACGGAGCAACGCCGCGGAAGUGAUGAAGGUCUUCGGAUCGUAAAACUCUGUUAUUAGGGAAGCGGUACCUAAUCAGAAAGCCACGGCUAACUACGUGCCAGCAGCUGCGGUAAUAC